GCCUUUUUUCAUUACCCUAUCUCUUCAUCUCCUUCUCUUUCUCAUCCUUAGAUUAACGGUUUCUCUCUCAACCAUUGCAAUGAGUGCUCCCUUCACAUUAAACUCGACAACUCCCUCAAUCUCUCUGUCUCCCUCGAUUUACUAUCAAAGCCUGAAGCAUUUAUAACCGAAAACACAUGAAAACCUAUAUAUAGAAGAGGGUUGAGAUUGUAAUCUAGCAUUAUAUACACAGGCUUUGAAAUUCUCUUCCGUCGAACCCUAGAUCACUCCUUCGAAAAUGUCUUCCUCAGUUCUUCCGAUGCAAUUGUUGCUCAGUCUGCUACUCCCCCACACCGGCCACCAAUUUUUACUUUGAGCCAAGAAUUGCUGCCAUCAAAGCUUUCACAACCCAGAGGUUUGUGUUGAGAAGAAAUCUUUGGUGAGCAGUGCACAGAGGAGAAAAUAUUAGCAAUUUGGUGGGUCAAGCGAA